UCUGGAGGAGAAUUUGUUUCUUGUUUUUUCCAGCUUCUAGAGAUGCCUUGGCAUCCAAGUCACAUCACUCUAUACAUUUUUUUUUUUUUUUUUGAGACUGAGUCUCGCUGUGUCACCCAGGCUGGAGUACAGUGGCACAAUCUCGGCUCACUGCAACCUCCGCCUCCCAGGAGAAUUGCCUGAACCCAGGAGGCGGAGGUUGCGGUGAGCUGAGAUCGCGCCAUUGCACUCCAGCCUGGGUAACAAGG
rnacentral:lncRNA from 1 species